GUUUUGUUAGUUUAAGAAAACAAUCAAUCUUGUAAAUUGAGAAAAUAAGGUUUAAAUCCUUAACAAAACU
rnacentral:tRNA from 1 species